rnacentral:miRNA from 1 species
CAAGUUCGCUUCUGCAGGUCU